UGAGAACAAUUUGAAAUGACGUGUGGUUGGUAAUCUUAUAAAUUGCGCCUAUAGUUAGCAAAGGAGUUUGCUCCAUGAAAGAACUUCUCAAAAUUCGAGUCGAGUUCCGUUUCCUUCUACUUUAGUUGACCGCUUAGCUAAGCACCCUGAAAGUUAAGGUUCCUUGAAGUUUAUGGCCUAUCUCGACUCGGACUUGUAGCUCCAGAAACCCAAAUAAAGGCAGAGGUCAGUGCCGUAGGAGAUUCGGUUUUGAUUCCUGCCACUUGCGGCUUCAUCACCACAAAUUGCCCAGUGAAGAAUAGAAGGAAAGUGGUAGAUCACUAUUAGAAAGCCCUUCUUUUGCUAGCCAGAUGAAAGACAACGAACAAGAUCAGAGGUAGAGAAGAAUGGGAAGUUGAAAAGGAACUAAAAAGGGAAGAGAGAAGAUAAGAAUUCAGUUACAGCUCAAUUAAAACUUAAGACAAUUAAAAAAUGGGCCAAUGAUACUGUUUCUAAACAAUUUUUCUAAACGGCGGAAAAGUAUUUAUAUCCGUAGGGUGGACAGGUUAAAUCCAACAACUAGAAAUGUACUUAACUAACUUUUCAAUCCAAUGGUUAAUAUUUGAUGGAGGGAUUUUAACAUUAUCAUAAAAUGUACAUGAUAUUUAGGUUAAUAAUCUGAACUUGUUUUUUCAAAAAAAUUAUAUAAAGUAUAUCAAAAUUAAUCUCAUUAGAUUUAAAAAAUUAAAAUAAACAAUAUUUAUAGAUUUAAAUUUAUGUUUUGAUGAUUUCGUAAAGAAUUAUCAAGAUUAAACUAACACAAAGGAAUAUUGAAAAAAAGAAAGAAAAAAAAAAAAAAAAAAAAAAAAAAAAAAAAAAAAAAAAAAAAAAAAAAAAAAAAAAAAAAAAAAAAAAAAAAAAAAAAAAAAAAAAAAAAAAAAAAAAAAAAAAAAAAAAAAAAAAAAAGAGAGGAAAAAAAAAAAAAAAAAAAAAAAAAAAAAAAAAAAGUAAACGGUAAGUAAAAAAAAAAAGUAAAAAAGAAUUAUAUUUUUUAAUUUCCUCCCACUAUUUCACAUUUCCUCCCACUUGUUUUAAUUCCGGCCCAAUCAAUUUAGCAUUUUUUACAGUCCAAAACAACUCAUUAUUCAUAUAUGCUAUAGCAAUUGUUAGAUCAUUUCUGUAGUUGAUCUGAUAGUUUACAGUGGCACCGCCUGGUUAGGUCCUAGCUUUUUAUACUUUAACAAUAAUAAUGUGGAUAGUUAAGAAAUUGAUUGACACAUACAAACUUAUGUAUAUUUAACUUAACUAAGGUUGAAUUGAUUGAUGUUUUAUUGAAAUAUGAGUGAGUAAUGUGUAAAUAAACCAACUUAAUAUCCAACGGUAUUUGCAUGGAUCUUUAUUCUAGUUGAAGGCAUAGUUUACUAAUUAUCAUUCUGAUUACAAGUUGUUGAGCAUUGUUGCACCAAGUUUUCCGCAAUAGCUUCCACAAUCAAUGCUCCACCUUCCUUGGCUUCUGGCACAUCUGGGAGCAAAUAUUACAAACUUAUAAUGUUUAGUGCCUAGUUUGAUAUAUGAUUGAGCGUUACUAAAUAAUAUAGAAACCCAAUCUUGGAUGUACGUUGAGAAUUGUCAGUAAGAAGAGUAGCUAGACAUCCAAGAUUGCAUAACUUGUUGUUGAUGUCAUUGUUAAUAGGAGGAUUGAAAACUAUACAAUUAACUCCACACUUACCAAUACAAGUAAGAUCAAUGAAACAAAUCCUUACACACCUCACUAGACAUUGUCCUUACACACCUCACUAGACAUUGUUGAGAACUUACAUUGGAUUGACCCACGAUCAUCCUCAUCACUGCCAACAUCAUUAUUGUCAUCCUUACUCUCCCACCUACCAUUUGUCUCUCUUUGAUAUAUGAUAAAUAAACUCUUUCCGUUUUGUUUCUUUCUUUGUUUUGAAUUGCUGGUGAUGAGUU
rnacentral:lncRNA from 1 species